rnacentral:rRNA from 1 species
AUUGAACGCUGGCGGCAUGCCUUACACAUGCAAGUCGAACGGUAACAGGUCUUCGGAUGCUGACGAGUGGCGAACGGGUGAGUAAUACAUCGGAACGUGCCUAGUAGUGGGGGAUAACUACUCGAAAGAGUGGCUAAUACCGCAUGAGAUCUACGGAUGAAAGCAGGGGAUCGCAAGACCUUGUGCUACUAGAGCGGCCGAUGGCAGAUUAGGUAGUUGGGGGGAUAACAGCUUAACAAGCCGACGAUCUGUAGCUGGUCUGAGAGGACGAUCAGCCACACUAGGGCUGAGACACGGCCCAUAAUCCUACGGGGGGCAGCAGUGGGGAAUUUUGGACAAUGCGCGCAAGCCUGAUCCAGCAAUGCCGCGUGCAGGAUGAAGGCCUUCGGGUUGUAAACUGCUUUUGUACGGAACGAAAAGCCCUGGGUUAAUACCCUGGGGUCAUGACGGUACCGUAAGAAUAAGCACCGGCUAACUACGUGCCAGCAGCCGCCGCAGUAA